GGACUCUUACCUUUGUUGCAUUUUUACACUUUUUUUGGAUAAGAUUAAAUUGGUAUUAAUAAGGUAAUAACACUCUAAAAUGCAAGACAGACCCACCAGGAGUAAAAACAAACAAUUAUUUCACCCUCAUAAUAUUUAGUGAAAACUUCAACCAAUAAGAUUCUUCGGACCGAAGGAUCUUAUUGGCCGACAGACCUGUCUGUUUGCUAGAUGGACAUGCAGGUUUUUCGCGGUUUUCCGUCUGCUUCUUGUGGCGCAUUCGGGCCCGCGUCAUCAAGGCGCGUCCUCAAAUAGAGGGUUUGUUUUGAUUCCACGGCAGUCAGUAGCGAGUAGCGGCUGAUGAUGGCGGACCAAAGUGGUACACCACGUACUGAAACAACCGCUCCCAGGGGGAAAAACAAAAGUUUAGCAGAGAUGGUCACCCGAAAAAAAGAACUCGAUACUGCAAGAGGAAAACGUCGAGUAAACAUCGGCUCUGCUUUUGAGCAAUGGAGGGAACUGAUGAAGCUGCAGCCAGAGCUAAAAUCGGAUGAAAUGGUCGCGGAGUUUCUGCUGGAAAGUUACGGAAAAACAACGUCGACGCCAGUAAAACAUGGUUUCAAGAGGCCUCCUCCGCCACCAUUGUCCACCAUUGCCGAAUCUUUUUCAGAACGAGAGGAGGAUUUCUCUGUUCAUGGAGUGGAGGGUUUGGACAGCUACUCGGCUGAGACCUCACUUCUCACAAUACAAGCAAGUGUUACAUCAGCAGAUGAAAGAUUGGGUGACAUCAAUGAGGACGCAUUUAAUGAUAUAACAAACUCUAUGUAAGUGUUUUCAAGGACAUAAGAUGAGACUUUUCAUGAUAUUUUAUGGGUUAUUAUUUCUGUAAAUUCUGUGUAUGUAACAUAAUGUAACUAGCUGGGGUUGUCUGUCAUCAGCAUUGACCACGAUGAGGACGAAUACGAUCCUUCUUGGCAUCCAGACAUGGAGGCGCAAUCAGAUUUGCUGUUGGAAGAGGAGGACACUGUAGAGGAAGACUCUGACUGCAAUGACAGCGACGACCCAGAUUACGUGCCACUUUUUCGUGUGUGCAAAGGCAGAUCUCUGAAUACUGGGUUCAUCCUUGAAGAAUGUCCAUCAGUCACCAUGGAAGACACUGUGCAUGACACGGGAGACGACACAGAUCAAGAUGAUCAUGAAGAAGAUCUCUCUGUGCUGGAGCAAGAGCAAGAGACACAACAUCUUCCCCAAAAAAAGCAAAGAAGGCAACCAAAUAGAUC